rnacentral:rRNA from 1 species
UACGUAGGUGGCAAGCGUUGUCCGGAUUUACUGGGCGUAAAGAGCGCGCAGGCGGUCGUUCAAGUCGCGUGUGAAAGCCCCCGGCUCAACUGGGGAGGGUCACGCGAUACUGAUCGACUCGAAGGCAGGAGAGGGAAGUGGAAUUCCCGGUGUAGUGGUGAAAUGCGUAGAGAUCCGGAGGAACACCAGUGGCGAAGGCGGCUGGCUGGACCUGACCUGACGCUGAGGCGCGAAGGCGUGGGGAGCGAACGGG